rnacentral:rRNA from 1 species
AUUGAACGCUGGCGGCAGGCCUAACACAUGCAAGUCGAACGAGUGGCGGACGGGUGAGUAAUGUCUGGGAAACUGCCCGAUGGAGGGGGAUAACUACUGGAAACGGUAGCUAAUACCGCAUCCCAUCGGAUGUGCCCAGAUGGGCUUAGCUAGUAGGUCGGGUAACGGCUCACCUAGGCGACGAUCCCUAGCUGGUCUGAGAGGAUGACCAGCAAACCUGUACCGGAGACACGGUACAGACUCCUACGUGAGGCAGCAGAGGGGAAUAGUGCACAAUGGGCGCAAGCCUGAUGCGGCCAUGCCGCUUGUAGGAAGAAGGCCUUCGGGUUGUAAAGUAACUUCAGCGAGGAGGCGGUACUCGCCUAAGAAGCACCGGCUAACUCCGUGCCAGCAGCCGCGGUAAUUC